UUUGGAGGGCAAGUCUGGUGCCAGCAGCCGCGGUAAUUCCAGCUCCAAUAGCGUAUAUUAAAGUUGUUGCAGUUAAAAAGCUCGUAGUUGAAUUUCGGGAUCAAUAUGCCGGUCGUGCCUUGGUACGUACUGGUAUCUUUGAUUUCUCCCUUCUGACGAACCUUGAUGUCAUUAAUUUGGUGUCAUAGGGAAUCAGGACUGUUACUUUGAAAAAAUUAAAGUGUUUAAAGCAGGCAA
rnacentral:rRNA from 1 species